rnacentral:ncRNA from 1 species
CGCGUGUUGCAGCGCGUCUAACAUAGGCAGGGCAACCUGCCGUUUGCUAAACGGAAGACAGAAA